AACUAACUAGGAUUCCCUCAGUAGCGGCGAGUGAAGCGGUAAAAGCUCAAAUUUGAAAUCUGGUACUUUCAGUGCCCGAGUUGUAAUUUGUAGAAUUUGUCUUUGAUUAGGUCCUUGUCUAUGUUCCUUGGAACAGGACGUCAUAGAGGGUGAGAAUCCCGUUUGGCGAGGAUACCUUUUCUCUGUAAGACUUUUUCGAAGAGUCGAGUUGUUUGAGAAUGCAGCUCAAAGUGGGUGGUAAAUUCCAUCUAAAGCUAAAUAUUGGCGAGAGACCGAUAGCGAACAAGUACAGUGAUGGAAAGAUGAAAAGAACUUUGAAAAGAGAGUGAAAAAGUACGUGAAAUUGUUGAAAGGGAAGGGCAUUUGAUCAGACAUGGUGUUUUUGCAUGCACUCGCCUCUCGUGGGCUUGGGCCUCUCAAAAAUUUCACUGGGCCAACAUCAAUUCUGGCAGUAGGAUAAAUCAUUAAGAAUGUAGCUACCUCGGUAGUGUUAUAGCUUA
rnacentral:rRNA from 1 species